AUUGAACGCUGGCGGCAGGCCUAACACAUGCAAGUCGAGCGGAUGAAGGGAGCUUGCUCCUGGAUUCAGCGGCGGACGGGUGAGUAAUGCCUAGGAAUCUGCCUGGUAGUGGGGGAUAACGUCCGGAAACGGGCGCUAAUACCGCAUACGUCCUGAGGGAGAAAGUGGGGGAUCUUCGGACCUCACGCUAUCAGAUGAGCCUAGGUCGGAUUAGCUAGUUGGUGGGGUAAAGGCCUACCAAGGCGACGAUCCGUAGCUGGUCUGAGAGGAUGAUCAGUCACACUGGAACUGAGACACGGUCCAGACUCCUACGGGAGGCAGCAGUGGGGAAUAUUGGACAAUGGGCGAAAGCCUGAUCCAGCCAUGCCGCGUGUGUGAAGAAGGUCUUCGGAUUGUAAAGCACUUUAAGUUGGGAGGAAGGGCAGUAAGUUAAUACCUUGCUGUUUUGACGUUACCAACAGAAUAAGCACCAGCUAACUUCGUG
rnacentral:rRNA from 1 species